rnacentral:rRNA from 1 species
ACGUAGGGUGCGAGCGUUAAUGGGAAUUACUGGGCGUAAAGCUGGCGCAGGCGGUUUCGUAAGACAGAUGUGAAAUCCCCGGGCUUAACCUGGGAACUGCGUUUCUGACUGCGAGACUUGAGUGCGGCAGAGGGGGGUGGAAUUCCACGUGUAGCAGUGAAAUGCGUAGAGAUGUGGAGGAACACCGAUGGCGAAGGCAGCCCCCUGGGUCGACACUGACGCUCAUGCACGAAAGCGUGGGGAGCAAACAGGAUUAGAUACCCUGGUAGUCCACGCCCUAAACGAUGCGAACUAGGUGUUGGGGAAGGAGACUUCUUUAGUACCGUAGCUAACGCGUGAAGUUCGCCGCCUGGGGAGUACGGUCGCAAGAUUAAAACUCAA